CAGCUAAGCUAAAAAGAAAACUAACUAAGUAACAUUCUUUUUAUUCCUUCUCACAUAUACAUUCCCAAACCUAUUUUUAUUCGUAUCAGUCACCUUUCGCACACUACAACUUUCGGACUGCAGCUACAACCCUAUUGUUUUAAUUUAUUUUCUCUAUAGUACAUCUUCCCAUUGUAACAACUUAAAGCUUAGUAAUCUUUAGCUUGAGAGGAAGUGUUAGAAUCAAAUAAUUAAACCUAUAUAUUAUUAUUAGGAUUGUAAUCAUAGAUUAUUAUUUGAAUUGGCAAAUCAUAUAAAUUAGUAUUUAUUGUACAUGCUAUUAUGAAUAGUGGUGAGUGUGGUCUAAUUUCGAAUAUAUGGUUGUUCGGUAAUAAAAUUAUAGAAUUUUAUGAUGAAUAUCACUUCUAAAUUUCUAUCUUUUUUACCAUGCUUCAUUUUACCAUGCUUCAUACACAUGAAAAUUUCCUCUUUUUUAUUAUUGGUUUAGAAAAUGGAAACAUAAAGAGGUUUGUGCUUUUGUGGUUAUUUAUUACGUAAGGUUAAUUACAUAUAUUGAUUCAUUUAGUCACCUUACUUAGUAUGACAAGGGUUAUUUGUUGUUUAACGUUCAAUAGGUUGAUGUAUAGCUUGGGUGCCUUUGUGAAUGAUUAUCAUUUCACAUUCGUUGUUUAUUGCUACUGGUCUAAUUUUUGCUUCAAGAGCAGGUUUAAAAAGGCAAGUGUUAAGGGUCUCCAAAAUGAUGACAAAUCUCUACCGAAAGAAAGUACAUCAGAACAAAGUCAAUGUCCUUUACUUUUUAAAUUUAAUGAGGGUUUUACAAAUGCAGUCAAAAGGCCUGUUCGUAUUCGUGAAUUUCUGUCCUAGUAUUUCUUUCAAGUAAUGUUCUUUAUUUAUCAUGUUUGCAUUAGUAAUAUCCAUUUGACACCAAGACUCUUCUAGUAUAGUUAUUAAUUUUGUAGCAUGUUUUAGAGUAAAAGUUCUCAAUUAUCAUUUUCUUUGACAGAGUCCAAGUACCUACUUUAGUCCUGGUAUUUUCCUUGUAUUACAUUUAUGCUAUCGAAAAGAAAGGCUGUGUAGGGGAAGAUAUGUCAA